rfam:Camelus ferus unplaced genomic scaffold scaffold57022, whole genome shotgun sequence.
GAGGGUAUCGCUCAGUGGCAGAGUAAGUGCCUCCCAUGCACAAGGUCCUGGGUUCAACCCCCAGGACCUUAA